CACACGGAUGAACUUUGGAGAAAGGAGAGGUUAGACGCCGGCAACGGCCAAGAGCGUGUAGCAACGCUUACCACUUACCCUUGUUUCCCUCACAAGGGGAUGAAAGCCACCAGAGAGGUGGCAGAGAGUGGGUCCAGUGACGGAGUGCAGCCGGUGAUGAUGCUGCAGCGGGCCAGAGGAGCAAGUGGCAGUGUGGCAGGGGGACGGGCCAGUGGAAGGUGGAGAGAUCCCACGGAGCAGCUUGGAGACAGAGCGGCCUUGCUGCCAGCUGAAGGGCCGAAGGGUUUCUCGGCAGGACUUGGAGCUGGGCUCGGAGAACGAGAGGCGCUGCGGAAUCCGAUCCAGAGCACGAGGCUUCCAUUAUGUUACAUCGUCAUGCGUCACCGGCAAAUCUUCACAACUAUUGGACAAGGGCUGGCUCCCGGGAAACGACCCUCAUCAGAGCAGACGACAGGCCGCUUUCCCAGAAUACACCGCGGCCGCAGCUUGAUUCUGGACCACUGAGCUCUCAAGGUGAAAGGCCUCGUUCCCGACAAAGCAGGCAAAACAAGCCUCUACUCCCCCCAAAUGUUGUCUUUUUGGGAAGAAGAUUAUUUUUAGAAUGAUGUCCAUCAGGGAAUUUACAGCUCUGUGCACCACCUGGCACACAAGGGCAUGUCGGCUGUUUCCCUACAGGAUGGACUGCAGGCCAGCCAGUAGAGGCUCCGCUUCAUUAAAAACAAGAUUUGGAGGAUUGGCACAGAGGUGUUUAUCCUCACAUAUUUUGUUGGUGUUUCUUCCUGUAAAUAAAAAAUGCCAAAUUUUACCAUAAUUGGUUUUUAAUUUCUCACCUUUUUACAUCAUAAAACUAUACCUGGUUAACAUGCAA